UCUUGCUUGGUUAUGUGCAUGUCUUUCCUUCUUCGCUUUGAUAUCGUCUUUUACGCAUACCUUGUAAUUAUUAAGCGCGCGGCGGUAUUGCAACUAAUUACGCAUUUGGACUAGAAAAGCGUAUCAACUGUUUCAUCGACGAUAGCGGAGGCGAUUUGGCGUAACCUCAACGAGAGAGAUAGACCUCUCAGCCUAGGCUCGGCGCUUCAAGGACAACAGUGCAACAAGGCAGCAACGAAAGUAUCUCCUUGUCUGAUGGGGCUCCCACCAAAGAGGACAUUUCUCCUUCGUGCCGGUAUCAGCAUGAGUCGGAAUACGGCACAAACAUCAACGGAGGUUUUGAUUUUUGUCAAAAUCCGCUGUUUUACUGUCUCGCUCUCUUCUGCUCCUUUUGGCGCGACUGGAAUUGAUGACGUCAU